rnacentral:tRNA from 1 species
GGAAAGGUCAGCUAAGAUUAAGCUUAUGGGCUCAUACCCCAUCCAUGAAAUUUUUUUUCUCUUUCUA